UAAGUAUCGGGAGUGCCGAAAUAGCGAUGUGCGAUCGUCGGGAUGUAUCGUGAACUCGACGGACGGGGCUGCAGUUACGGUGAAUCCUGACCGGAGGACCUGAUUCGGGCCAGAUUUUUAAACAGCAGAACGUGGCCGGCCCUAACUGCAAGUCAUUUUGGUGAGUGAAAGAAAUGAAUACAUAUUGAUAUUUGAGGUGAUGGGUUUGAUAUCAGAAUAUCAUUAUGAAAUCAG